rnacentral:rRNA from 1 species
CAGUCGCCGCGGUAAUACGAAGGGGGCUAGCGUUGCUCGGAAUGACUGGGCGUAAAGGGCGCGUAGGCGGCGAUCAAAGUCAGGCGUGAAAUUCCUGGGCUCAACCUGGGGGCUGCGUUUGAUACUUGAUUGCUAGAGUGGGGAAGAGGGUCGUGGAAUUCCCAGUGUAGAGGUGAAAUUCGUAGAUAUUGGGAAGAACACCGGUGGCGAGGGCGGCGACCUGGUCCUUGACUGACGCUGAGGCGCGAAAGCGUGGGGAGCAAACAGGAUUAGAUACCCCAGUAGUCCCUGUCUCUUAUAC